rnacentral:rRNA from 1 species
UACGUAGGGUGCAAGCGUUGUCCGGAAUUAUUGGGCGUAAAGAGCUCGUAGGCGGUUUGUCGCGUCUGCUGUGAAAACCCGAGGCUCAACCUCGGGCCUGCAGUGGGUACGGGCAGACUAGAGUGCGGUAGGGGAGAUUGGAAUUCCUGGUGUAGCGGUGAAAUGCGUAGAUAUCUGGAGGAACACCGGUGGCGAAGGCGGGUCUCUGGGCCGAUACUGACGCUGAGGAGCGAAAGCGUGGGGAGCGAACAGG